GAUGAACGCUGGCGGCGUGCCUAAUACAUGCAAGUCGAACGAACAGACCAUGCGCUUGCUCCGCUGACGUUAGCCGCACAGGGGUGUAUCACACGUGUAUACCCUCCCUAUCUGUCUGAUAUAACUUCGAGAAACCGGCGCUUAUCCGAUAUAAUCUCUUGAUCCGCAUGGUUCAAUAGUAAAAGUCGGCUUUGCUGUAAGUUCUAGCUGCAUCCUCGCCGCAUUAGCUAGUUGGUAAGGUAACGGCUUACCAAGGCAACGAUGCGUAGACGACCUGAUAGGGUGAUCGGCGACACGGGAACUGAGACACGGUCCAGACUCCUACGGGAGGCAGCAGUAGGGAAUCUUCCGCAAUGGUCGAGAGCCUGACAGAGCAACGCCGCGUGAGUGAUGAAGGUCUUCGGAGCGGAAAACUCUGUUAUUAGGUAAGAACAAAUGUGGAAGUAAAUAUGCACGUCUUGACGGUAACUAAUCAGAAAGCAACGGCUAACUACGUG
rnacentral:rRNA from 1 species